rnacentral:lncRNA from 1 species
AACAAGGACAGUGCCAAAGUAGGAAACAAAAAAUGCAGAGACAUACAACUCUCUCUUUUUUUUUUCUUACUCUUCUUUUGGGCAGAGCUUCCAUGUUGUGCAAACGAAAAAUGGCAUAAUUUGGCUUAAAUACCUUAAUGUGAUUGUUGGCUGAACGUUUGUGAUGUUCACUUAUGCACUGAGGAGCCAGGAUAUUUAUUUGAUGAUGCAGACAUAUGGAUAUUGUGAAGACUUUCUUCAGAUGUGUGC